UAGAUAAAUUUUGAUUAAAAUUAUUCAUAAGAAAUUCAAUAAAUAAAUUAAUUUAUUUUUUAUUUACAAGUUUUUGGAAGCUAUCGGCAAAAAAAUACUGAUUAAGAAGUGAUUGAUAUGGCAAUUUUACUCGUGUAGAUCAAGCAAAGACCGAUUGAUCGACGUUGGUAUAUACCUCGGUAGUAUACCUCGGCAGGCGUGAGGGAUAUAAUUAUUUAGUGAGGCGCGCGGAAUAAAUUCACUGUAAUAACCGGUGGCGCGUUACGAAUGUCUUACCGGGACGACCAAAUAGAUUAGAGAUUCCUUGACGUCGCUGGAUAAAUCAGCUCAAGAUCAGAUGACAAACCGCAUAGAUGAAUAAAUUGGAAGAACGUUUUUAUAAUGGAUCGAUUAUCCAAAAGUACAUUUCUCAAUAUAAUUGGACUGUUGCACAAGAGUUAAUUUCCCAGGUUAUUUUCGAGUGAAAAAAAUUUAAUGGGGUCUACCAAUGGUAUCUUAAUUUACUCUGUGGGCCUGAUACUAAAAUUCAAGUCCCAAGACCUGAUUAUACUUGAUCACGAUGACUUGAAACUUUUUUGCGCUCUAUCUCUCUCUUCGAUUCUUUUAUUACUCUCUUGAGUGCAGAGCAUGUAAGCUACAGUAGAGUAGAGAGACGGCAACGAAUAAAGAUGAUGACCACUAUACAACCUCGAUGCACCCACUAUCGAUUCCCCCUUUAUUACUUUACAUGUUUGAUAUCUCGAUCCCACAGACCACGCUGGACCACCAGACACUUUGAAAUUGAUCCAAUGACAUUCUGAUUCACAUUUUAUUUUUUUUUUAUACUUAUUAUUUUUUUCUUUUUGUAUCAUAUCAAUUUUAGUAAUUAAUAAAAAUUCUAUUGUUCUUAUCUUCUAUUAAAGACUAACGUCUGCAACUGAUAAGCUAAUAAUUUUUAAGGAAAAAUUUUUGUUUCCAAAUCGUUUUCAUAAGACGAAAAAAUAUUUACAGAAUAAUAAAUAUUAAAUAAAUAAAUCGCAGUAGAAUUUCCCACGAUUUAAAAAAUAACGUUUAUCUAUUUGAGUUUAUUGUGAUAUUAUCUGAGACCUUCAAAUGGUUAAUGGCAGUAUUGUUAUUUAAUGAUGAAUAUUAAAAUUUAUAACCUGGUGCAUGUCGUUAUAAACAGUUCUACACACUAAGCAAAGUCACGAUAACAUUAUUUUCUAUUAGAACGACAAAAGUUGCGCAUCUUAACACAUCGACUAAUCGCUUAAAAAAAAAAUAAUCGUAUAUUUUAUUUAAAAUCAUACGCGAAAUGUCUAAAGUUGGAGUUUUUUUAUCCUUUACGUUGCUAAUUGUCAUUAUGCAGAUGACAAAUGCUGAUGAUGAGGGGCCUGUUUUUCAAUGGGAGUACAGGUGUACAGAAUUAGGAAAACCUUGUGGCUACUAUAGAACGCCAUGUUGUGGAGAAGAACAUGAAUUACACAAAAUUCCAAUAAUUCGAUGCAGAUCUUACGACUUACGAUAUCCUGAAAAGAAAAUUUGUCAACGAAUGUCAGAUGAUUAUUAUAGCUACACCAUAAAAGAUGAAUAAUAUAUCGAUCGUCAUCAAACCGUUGAUGACAUUAGAUCAUCUUAAUCCAUAAAAUGUAUAUCGAUAAAAAUAUAUUUUGUCAAUAAAAGAA